AGGGCGCACGGUGGAUGCCUUGGCACUAGAAGCCGAUGAAGGACGUGACUAACGACGAAAUGCUUUGGGGAGCUGUAAGUGAGCAAUGAUCCAGAGAUGUCCGAAUGGGGGAACCCGGCAGGUAAUGCCUGUCACUCAUUACUGUUAAGGUAAUGUAGAGGAAGACGCAGUGAACUGAAACAUCUAAGUAGCUGCAGGAAGAGAAAGCAAAAGCGAUUGCCUUAGUAGCGGCGAGCGAAACGGCAGGAGGGCAAACCGAAGAGUUUACUCUUCGGGGUUGUAGGACUGCAACGUGGACUUAAAGAUUAUAGAAGAACUACCUGGGAAGGUAGGCCAAAGAGAGUAAUAGCCUCGUAUUCGAAAUAGUCUUUAUACCUAGCAGUAUCCUGAGUACGGCGAGACACGAGAAAUCUCGUCGGAAUCUGGGAGGACCAUCUCCCAACCCUAAAUACUCCCUAGUGACCGAUAGUGAACCAGUACCGUGAGGGAAAGGCGAAAAGAACCCCGGCGAGGGGAGUGAAAAAGAACCUGAAACCGUGUACGUACAAGCAGUGGGAGCACCUUCGGGUGUGACUGCGUACCUUUUGUAUAAUGGGUCAGCGACUUAUAUUCUGUAGCAAGGUUAACCGUAUAGGGGAGCCGAAGGGAAACCGAGUCUUAACUGGGCGUUAAGUUGCAGGGUAUAGACCCGAAACCCGGUGAUCUAGCCAUGGGCAGGUUGAAGGUUGGGUAACACUAACUGGAGGACCGAACCGACUAAUGUUGAAAAAUUAGCGGAUGACUUGUGGCUGGGGGUGAAAGGCCAAUCAAACCGGGAGAUAGCUGGUUCUCCCCGAAAGCUAUUUAGGUAGCGCCUCGUGAACUCAUCUUCGGGGGUAGAGCACUGUUUCGGCUAGGGGGCCAUCCCGGCUUACCAACCCGAUGCAAACUACGAAUACCGAAGAAUGUUAUCACGGGAGACACACGGCGGGUGCUAACGUCCGUCGUGAAGAGGGAAACAACCCAGACCGCCAGCUAAGGUCCCAAAGUCAUGGUUAAGUGGGAAACGAUGUGGGAAGGCACAGACAGCCAGGAUGUUGGCUUAGAAGCAGCCAUCAUUUAAAGAAAGCGUAAUAGCUCACUGGUCGAGUCGGCCUGCGCGGAAGAUGUAACGGGGCUAAACCAUGCACCGAAGCUGCGGCAGCGACACUAUGUGUUGUUGGGUAGGGGAGCGUUCUGUAAGCCUGCGAAGGUGUGCUGUGAGGCAUGCUGGAGGUAUCAGAAGUGCGAAUGCUGACAUAAGUAACGAUAAAGCGGGUGAAAAGCCCGCUCGCCGGAAGACCAAGGGUUCCUGUCCAACGUUAAUCGGGGCAGGGUGAGUCGACCCCUAAGGCGAGGCCGAAAGGCGUAGUCGAUGGGAAACAGGUUAAUAUUCCUGUACUUGGUGUUACUGCGAAGGGGGGACGGAGAAGGCUAUGUUAGCCGGGCGACGGUUGUCCCGGUUUAAGCAUGUAGGCGGAACGAUUAGGUAAAUCCGGUCGUUUAUUAACGCUGAGGUGUGAUGACGAGGCACUACGGUGCUGAAGUAACAAAUGCCCUGCUUCCAGGAAAAGCCUCUAAGCAUCAGGUAACAUCAAAUCGUACCCCAAACCGACACAGGUGGUCAGGUAGAGAAUACCAAGGCGCUUGAGAGAACUCGGGUGAAGGAACUAGGCAAAAUAGCACCGUAACUUCGGGAGAAGGUGCGCCGGCGUAGAUUGUAGUCCCUCGCGGGCGAAGGUUGAACCGGUCGAAGAUACCAGCUGGCUGCAACUGUUUAUUAAAAACACAGCACUCUGCAAACACGAAAGUGGACGUAUAGGGUGUGAUGCCUGCCCGGUGCUGGAAGGUUAAUUGAUGGUGUAAUCGAAAGAGAAGCUCCUGAUCGAAGCCCCAGUAAACGGCGGCCGUAACUAUAACGGUCCUAAGGUAGCGAAAUUCCUUGUCGGGUAAGUUCCGACCUGCACGAAUGGCAUAAUGAUGGCCAGGCUGUCUCCACCCGAGACUCAGUGAAAUUGAAAUCGCCGUGAAGAUGCGGUGUACCCGCGGCUAGACGGAAAGACCCCGUGAACCUUUACUAUAGCUUGACACUGAACACUGGUCCUUGAUGUGUAGGAUAGGUGGGAGGCUUUGAAGUGUGGACGCCAGUCUGCAUGGAGCCGUCCUUGAAAUACCACCCUUUAAUGGCUGGUGUUCUAACGUAGACCCGUAAUCCGGGUUGCGGACAGUGUCUGGUGGGUAGUUUGACUGGGGCGGUCUCCUCCCAAAGAGUAACGGAGGAGCACGAAGGUUUGCUAAUGACGGUCGGACAUCGUCAGGUUAGUGCAAUGGUAUAAGCAAGCUUAACUGCGAGACAGACAAGUCGAGCAGGUACGAAAGUAGGUCAUAGUGAUCCGGUGGUUCUGAAUGGAAGGGCCAUCGCUCAACGGAUAAAAGGUACUCCGGGGAUAACAGGCUGAUACCGCCCAAGAGUUCAUAUCGACGGCGGUGUUUGGCACCUCGAUGUCGGCUCAUCACAUCCUGGGGCUGAAGUAGGUCCCAAGGGUAUGGCUGUUCGCCAUUUAAAGUGGUACGCGAGCUGGGUUUAGAACGUCGUGAGACAGUUCGGUCCCUAUCUGCCGUGGGCGCUGGAGAAUUGAGGGGGGCUGCUCCUAGUACGAGAGGACCGGAGUGGACGCAUCACUGGUGUUCGGGUUGUCAUGCCAAUGGCACUGCCCGGUAGCUAAAUGCGGAAGAGAUAAGUGCUGAAAGCAUCUAAGCACGAAACUUGCCUUGAGAUGAGUUCUCCCUGUCUUUAAGACAGUAAGGGUUGU
rnacentral:rRNA from 1 species